UACGUAGGGUGCAAGCGUUGUCCGGAAUUAUUGGGCGUAAAGAGCUCGUAGGCGGUCUGUCACGUCGGAUGUGAAAAUCCAGGGCUCAACCCUGGACCUGCAUUCGAUACGGGCAGACUAGAGUUCGGUAGGGGAGACUGGAAUUUACGGUGUAGCGGUGAAAUGCGUAGAUAUCGUAAGGAAGACCAGUGGCGAAGGCGGGUCUCUGGACAGUUCCUGACGCUGAGGCACGAAGGUCAGGGGAGCAAACGGG
rnacentral:rRNA from 1 species